CUUUUGAGUUCAGUAGUAGUAGCUGAUAAGUUGUGUUCUUCUAAUUCCCUGAUCAAAAUGGCCUCGAUUAGAGAUUUUGCCAAGAGAUAUGAAGCUGACUGCAGACACCUCAACCAAUUCUUUUCUGGAAAUGUUUCCCCGAACAAUGCGAGACCGGUCCUGGAGAUCUUCACCGCAAGGAGCAGCCAGGAGAUGAAGCAAAUCUGCAGGGCUUACAGCAGCAUGUAUCGCCAAGAUCUCAUCCAGCUACUGUCGCAGCAGAAGACCACCUUUGCAAGGGUGGCGUGCCUCAGAGCUAGCGAGCCGUGCGUCCGCGACGCAGACAUCGCCAGGGACGCGCUGUUCGGGCGGCGGAUCGACGGCGACGUGCUCGUCGAGGUCGUGUGCACGCGGCCCUCCGGCGAGGUCGCGCUGAUCAGGCAGGCGUACCAGGCCCGGUACAGCGCCAGCCUCGAACGCGACGUCUCGUCGAGGACAAGCGGCAGCCUCAACGAGGUUCUUCUCGCGUUCUUGGGAUCGAGCGGGAGCGGCUACCAUGGCGGCCGGGUGGACGCGACGAUGGCGAUGUGCGACGCCAAGACGCUGUACGAGGCGGUGGAGAUCAGCGCGGCGCGGGUGGACCAGAGGAGCGUCCUGCAGCUGCUGCGCCACCGGAGCGGCGACCAGCUCAGGGCGGUGCUCGCGUCGUACAGGCGGCUGUACGGGCAGGAGCUCGCGCGGGCGCUGAAGAGGAAGGACGGCGACACCAGCGGCGGCGGCGGUGGCCGGCGAGGCGAGUCGUCGUCGUUCCCGGGCAUCCUCCGCGCGGCGCUGCGGUGCGCGCAGCUCCCCGAGAGGCACUUCGCGAGGGCGGUGCGCGCGGCGCUGGAGCGCGGCGGCGGCGCGGCGAGGGAGGCGCUGGUGCGGACCGUCGUGACGCGCGCGGGCGUCGACGUGCGCCGCGUCAACCAGGCGUUCGCGGCCAAGACCGGGUGGACGCUGGAGAGCGUCGUCCGGAACGAGUUCGGCAGCGGCGGCACCGGGAAGUCGGACGACGGCUUGACCGGCGACUUGCUCGUGGAGUUGCUCAAGUUGGCCUGAGGACAAGAGA
rnacentral:lncRNA from 1 species